UCCUUCACUGCCGACAUCACCAAUAAAAUAAAUUUCCAAGCGUCCACACAUGGUCCAACAUUUAAAAAAAAAUUAAAAACGGUCGGUCCAUACAGGAGAUACUCUUUAUGUAAUUAUUUUAUCUAUGGCAUAUACACGUCAAAUGAGAAACCAUUGAGAAGAUCAGAAGUUACUUUCGUUGAGACGUACGUUUAUGGGCACCAGAUGUAAAUAAUCAAUCCUCUGAUUUAAACUUUAAUAAUAAAUUGUGUUUAUAUAAAAUGGUACUUAUAUAAGUCACUGUUGUAUUAGGACCUGAUGUGAACUUUGUAGGUUGGAACAAUUUCAUGGUGUAAAAUAGGGCUGUGACCAGUAUAGACACAAGCAAAUUGGAUCAAAAGGCUUGUUUCGAGAUAACAUCCUUAUCCUUGGAUUUGAUGGGCAGACUAUUUACAGAUGUGAUGUUCCUUGCAGUCAAAUAUACUUUUAUUUCCAAGAAUGCUGGUCGAAAAAUACAUAGAACAGUGGUGGUUUCCAGUAAAACGUAAUAAAUUGACAUUUAGAGGGUAAAUCAGCAAGGGGAAGAAGUAGAAUCCCAUUCGUGCUUCUUUCUAUUGGCUUUGGAUAUGGGCUGUUAGUGUAAAGGGUUAUGACUUUAACACAUGAAAUGAAGAAGGUGAAAAAAUAAGAAGGAUUGGAAACCUGGAGGAGUGGAGCCCCUUGGACCUGAACGAUGCAAUUUUUAGAAAUACGUGCAGUCCAAUUGACACCGAUGCAUAUAAAGUUACACAUGUGAUGUCUUCCACUAUGUGGCUGAUUUCACCAUCAGUGGUAUUAUUUUCCUUUCACAAGCAUCUGUUGUUGAAGGUACUUCUCUGUUAUACGCUUAGGAAUAAAACUCGACCACCAUAGAGUAUACUUGAGAUCGUCCAACAGAUGAGAGAAAAUUGAAGUUCAGGUUGAUCAUAUUGAAGCAACUAAUAACUGGUGUUGUCUUUCUUAGACUGUAUUCUGGAUUUGCUGUUUUCAUCUUCACCUUGCAACAUUAUGCAGUUAAUUUUCAACAGAUAAGUGAGAACAAGAGGAGAUUUACUUGAAUUCCACUAAAAGAGCAAGUUUUCUACUUUGGCAUUUUUACUGGAUUUGGUUUGCUAUUCACACCUGCAAACUUUGGAUUGUUGUAGUCUAUAAUUAAUUAAGGUCGACGUUGGAGAAAACAAAGAUGACCCCGUAGUU